rnacentral:rRNA from 1 species
GAAGGGGGCUAGCGUUGUUCGGAUUUACUGGGCGUAAAGCGCACGUAGGCGGAUCGUUAAGUCGGGGGUGAAAUCCUGGAGCUCAACUCCAGAACUGCCUUCGAUACUGGCGAUCUUGAGUCCGGAAGAGGUGAGUGGAACUCCUAGUGUAGAGGUGGAAUUCGUAGAUAUUAGGAAGAACACCAGUGGCGAAGGCGGCUCACUGGUCCGGUACUGACGCUGAGGUGCGAAAGCGUGGGGAGCAAACAGGAUUAGAUACCCCGGUAGUCCACGCCGUAAACUAUGAGAGCUAGCCGUCGGCAAGUUUACUUGUCGGUGGCGCASUAACGCAUUAAGCUCUCCGCCUGGGGAGUACGGUCGCAAGAUUA